AGAGUUUGAUCAUGGCUCAGAACGAACGCUGGCGGCGUGCUUAACACAUGCAAGUCGAACGAGAAACCUCGAGCUUGCUCGAGGGAGUAAAGUGGCGCACGGGUGAGUAACACGUGGGUAACCUACCCCCGAAUCUGGGAUAACCUCGCGAAAGCGUUGCUAAUACCGGAUAUUGUCCUAUUGGUUGUGACCUUUGGGAUGAAAGGCAACCUCUUCAUGAAAGUUGUCGUUCAGGGAUGGGCCCGCGUACCAUUAGCUUGUUGGUGGGGUAAUGGCCCACCAAGGCUGCGAUGGUUAGCUGGUCUGAGAGGAUGAUCAGCCACACUGGAACUGAAACACGGUCCAGACUCCUACGGGAGGCAGCAGUGAGGAAUUUUGCGCAAUGGGGGAAACCCUGACGCAGCAACGCCGCGUGAGUGAAGAAGGCUUUCGGGUCGUAAAGCUCUGUCAAGUGGGAAAAAAGUCUGAUGAUUAAUAGUUAUCAGAUCUGAUGGUACCACUGGAGGAAGCACCGGCUAACUCCGUGCCAGCAGCCGCGGUAAUACGGAGGGUGCAAGCGUUGUUCGGAAUUACUGGGCGUAAAGGGCGUGCAGGCGGGUUGGUAAGUCAGAUGUGAAAGCCCUGGGCUCAACCCAGGAAGUGCAUUUGAAACUGCCAUCCUUGAGUAUGGGAGAGGAGAGUGGAAUUCCCAAUGUAGAGGUGAAAUUCGUAGAUAUUGGGAGGAACACCCGUGGCGAAGGCGACUCUCUGGACCAAUACUGACGCUGAGACGCGAAAGCGUGGGG
rnacentral:rRNA from 1 species